UGCCCCAUGGCUGAGUUGGUCACAGCGUCCGACUGUUACUUCUGAGUACUAGAGACUCGUCGUGAUAAUCGGAAGGUCGUGAGUUCGAGCCUCACUGGGGCAG
rfam:Grifola frondosa strain 9006-11 000004F, whole genome shotgun sequence.